CAGUUCCACAUGAAAACAACAACAACAACAACAAAAACCACUGCCAUUACAAUGAAUGUUCUCCUGAGUUACUCUGAUAUGCAUUAGAUAUUAAUAUGCACAUUUGAAUGAGGAGUCGGGUUUCAAGUUACAAUAAAAACCACUUGUAAAGAAUUUUCUCCUGAAUUCAAAUCUUUAAAACAGCCACAACAGAUUAAAUUAUUUUUUUAAGGAAGCAUGUUCUAUCAUACUUGUGGCUCUACUCCUGCAUUGCCAGCGCUGCCAGGUUGCUUGAGAGGUAACAGACUGACCGUGGGAGGAAUAAGGACAUUUUGGUACUGCUGUGCCUCUGGAACGAACCUGAUGAGAACCAGGACUUUCUGUGGAUGAACAGGAUGCAGCUUGCAAAGAGAAGUCUGUGGCGCUCCCUUUCAUAUCCCAUCCCUUCUGGCUCUGUCCGUGAGGAGAAAAAAAUCAGUGUUCACAUUUGAGCAAUUCCAAGUGGAAGUAUCCUAUUUGAGAGGACACAAUUUAUGAUUAAAAACCCUAUGAAUCCAAGUGUUAUUAAUCAUCGUUCCUCAUUUCCUUUCACUGCUGGGAUUUGACAAGGAUUUUAUUUCACCUUGAAAAACUGCACAUAGUGGAGAGUUUCUUCACUUUAUUCCUGCAGUCUUAACAUACCCUACU